AACGGGUGGUAAUGCCGGAUGCUCCAGUUGACCGCAUGGUCCUCUGGGAAAGAUUCAUCGGUAUGGGAUGGGGUCGCGUCCUAUCAGCUUGAUGGCGGGGUAACGGCCCACCAUGGCUUCGACGGGUAGCCGGCCUGAGAGGGCGACCGGCCACAUUGGGACUGAGAUACGGCCCAGACUCCUACGGGAGGCAGCAGUGGGGAAUAUUGCACAAUGGGCGCAAGCCUGAUGCAGCGACGCCGCGUGCGGGAUGACGGCCUUCGGGUUGUAAACCGCUUUUGACUGGGAGCAAGCCCUUCGGGGUGAGUGUACCUUUCGAAUAAGCACCGGCUAACUACGUGCCAGCAGCCGCGGUAAUACGUAGGGUGCAAGCGUUAUCCGGAAUUAUUGGGCGUAAAGGGCUCGUAGGCGGUUCGUCGCGUCCGGUGUGAAAGUCCAUCGCUUAACGGUGGAUCCGCGCCGGGUACGGGCGGGCUUGAGUGCGGUAGGGGAGACUGGAAUUCCCGGUGUAACGGUGGAAUGUGUAGAUAUCGAAAAAGAACACCA
rnacentral:rRNA from 1 species